AGAAGGUGGCACUGUACGAAAAUGGAGGGAGAUUCAUCAUCAACAUCGUUACACAGUCCCGAAUUAGAAGCCAGUGUAUGGGAAAGUAUUCAACAGUUAAAUACUGUUAUUAACGGAUUAGCGGAAAAUUUAAGAAAAGUGAAUAAUGUAAUGGAAAGGAUCUUAAGCUCACAGGAAAAGCUAGAAACAUUGCAUGAUACUUUGGUUCGGUUUCAAAACAUGAAUAAGAAAGGGGUGUAAUAAUGAUGUUAACAAGGAUAGAAGAGUUUACUGAUGUGGUUGAUUCCAGUCCUGUAAUCAAUGAAGCAACUAAAUAUUUUUUGUAAUUUUUAGAUUUGUUAAAUCAUUUGAAAGUUUCAUCUUAAGUAUUCGUUUUGUAAAAAAACUUAUCUUUGUGAAAUAUUUUUAUUUUGGUGAAUAAACUAAAACUGUAUAUAAAUCAAUAUA